rnacentral:rRNA from 1 species
AGAAUCAACGCUGGCGGCGUGCCUAACACAUGCAAGUCGCACGAGAAAGGGUAGCAAUACCUGAGUACAGUGGCGCACGGGUGAGUAACACGUGAAUAAUCUACCUCCGAGUGGGGAAUAACUGAGAGAAAUCUUAGCUAAUACCGCAUAACACUUACGAGUCAAAGCAGCAAUGCGCUUGGAGAGGAGUUCGCGGCAGAUUAGUUAGUUGGCGGGGUAAUGGCCCACCAAGACGAUGAUCUGUA